GCCGAGGUGGCGGAAUUGGCAGACGCGCUAGCCUCAGGAGUUAGUGGGCGCAAGCCUAUGGGGGUUCAAAUCCCCCCCUCGGCA
rnacentral:tRNA from 1 species